UACGGGGGGGGCAAGCGUUGUUCGGAAUUACUGGGCGUAAAGGGCGCGUAGGCGGUGCGGUAAGUCUGCGGUGAAAUCUCCCGGCUCAACUGGGAGUCUGCCGUGGAAACUGCCGUGCUUGAGUGUGGGAGAGGUGAGUGGAAUUCCUGGUGUAGCGGUGAAAUGCGUAGAUAUCAGGAGGAACACCGGUGGCGAAGGCGGCUUUCUGGACAGAUACCGACGCUGAGACACGAAAGCGUGGGGAGCGAACAGG
rnacentral:rRNA from 1 species